CGGAAAUAUCGCGGUGAAGUACAGGUCCUCGUACGAUCCUCGAAGUUAAGCAACCUCGAGCCUGUUCAGUAUCUGGAUGGGUAACCGCUUUGGAAUACCGAGUGCUGUAAG